AGAAACUAGUUAAAGCAGGAAUGAAGGACAUGCGCCUACAUUGAGGAGCUAAAAUGAUAAAGUCCAGAACACGACACGACAUUCAACAUGCGGAAGAUAAUUAGUCAUCAAAAAGACAAAAGGAAGACCAAACUCUCUUUUAGGAGAGCUCCAGCCAUGGCCUGAACGCUAUGGACUUGCGAAAAGCCUUUUCCCUCUGGGCUUCAGGAAUGGAGACAGAGAAGAAGGAACAUGGACACUAGUUACCUGUUGAAUAAUAGUGCCUUUUUCUUCCCUUGAUGAGGGCUGAAUCCCAUUGGCUGAACUGAGGAUUCUAGGAUCGUUAUGUAUACUGCAGUUUAAUAUGCCAGUUUCAUAGAAUACAGUAUCAAUGUCAUAGCAGAGAAAGAUUUUGUGUGUAGUUACCUAGAGUAUGGAUUCAAUACACAUCUCAAGAGUUGGACAACACGUCAAUAUCACAUCUCGCUCCAAUAGAUUGAUUCUGUUUUUUUUUAUCUCAGCUUUGCUGUUGUUCAACGCACCGCUACGUGAUGACCUCUCUGGUCAAUACAGAUCACCUUUGUUGAAGAUUUAGUGGUUAAUUUGGCAAAACAACAAUUUCUGGAUGGAUCAACCUAGGCCGUUGUUCAUAGGGUGCAUCACCUCACCAGACGCUGGGAGAUACGGCUUUCAUGAAAACCAAUGGAAGCUCUUUCAAGAAACCAGCCCUAUUCAUUCGUCAACAGAUGGUUAAACAACCAUUCAGCAGUGCUGUAUCUCCAUUCAAGGGCCAUGCGACUGGGUGAUUGCUGUCAAAGAUUGGCCAGAGAUGUCUCCCGGUUGGCUCUUAUCUAAAAUUGGUCAUGAUUGGCUAUCGAUAUGCAAACUUUUGAGUGUUUAGCAUCUGUACCUUUGCUGUAGCUUCAUCCCCCACCUUGACAGUGUGAUUUUGUGGCUUAUAGUUAAUAAAUAUGUUUUAAUCCAGGGAUCCUAUUUCCACAGCCAUAGAUCUAAUGUGCGUGUGAUUAUAGAUGCCUUGAAGAUCUUUCUAGGGUUAGUGCCGAUGUUUUGGUCGAAGCGUUCGCUCCACAGUGGCGUUGCUGAGGACCCUUUGCUGAUGGCUCCUGACGUUCCCCUUUGAACUUAAACCAAGUGUUAACCACAUCCAUACAAAGCUGGUUUCUAAAGGAAAGUCCCCUUUUAAUGUGUGUCUCCCUUCCCCCCCCCCCUCCUGGGUGACACAAUGGCUCCCCAGAAGUCACCCAGAGUUUGAUUGAUUCCAGAGAAUUCCUUUCACACCCCGUUCUGAGAGAACAGGAACUAUUAUUAUCGAAGACAUUUGAUUGGAUGCCGCUGUAUACGCCAAACCCGCCAUUACCAGGAAGAACCCUCCGGGACGGCAGUCGUGGAGGUGGUGAAAGGGCAGCUGAUUUCUAGCUGUUCACCUGACUGCCUUCACUGAUGGCCUGUCUUUCUCUCUCCUGUCUCUCUGUAUUAUCGCUGUGUGUGUCAGACGCCGUCGGCCUCUCUGAGCCAGUUAUUCUUUUAAGGGCUUGUUAACAUACUGAUCAACGCAUCAUAUUGCUGCCGCGGCUCACCGCAUCCGACAAAUCGUCUUAGACAACUGAGGUCCUGCUGGCCUCCUCACGCUGUUCCAGCCCAGCCCUAUAGCGCUAACCUAGUCGGUAAGACUACAUUAUACUGUCCAGUUACAGUCUUAAUUAGACAAGUAUGAACGCCUCUUAAAAUAAUGCAACCGCAAGUAACUACACUUUGGUUAGGAGUAGGAAAACUCUACUCUGGGAUUAGGCUUAGGGUUAAGGGUUGGGCAGUUUCAUAACAUUAUUGCAUAUAAAUUACACACUGUUUUAUAUUGUUACAUAAUUCAUAAUACAAUUUUGCAAUCUUUUUGUGGUAUUUAGUUUCCCUAGGAAUGCUCCUUCAUGGCUGUCCACCGUCCUUAGGCUGCCCCUCUGCAUCUCAAAGGCCUCUUUACUCCAGAACUUAAAGGAACAAACACUCAGAGCCUGCCUCUAAAAAUGCUCUCACCUUAUUUUCGUUCUGGGGCUGCGUGAAAUCCUGCUAACGGCCCUUCAGUACACCUUCAAUAAGAGGAGGGCCGCAGUGUCACAUCAACGCUAGAUCAAUCAGGAGUGGGGUAACCAUAUCAGCCAAACAGGUUGUGCAUGCUAUCCCAUGUGUUUGAUAGCACUUUAAAAGCAUUAAUAAAGUAGUAUAGGGAAUUUA
ensembl:lncRNA